rnacentral:rRNA from 1 species
UACGAAGGGGGCUAGCGUUGUUCGGAAUCACUGGGCGUAAAGGGCGCGUAGGCGGCCGAUCAAGUCGGGGGUGAAAGCCUGUGGCUCAACCACAGAAUGGCCUUCGAUACUGGUUGGCUCGAGACCGGAAGAGGUGAGUGGAACUGCGAGUGUAGAGGUGAAAUUCGUAGAUAUUCGCAAGAACACCAGUGGCGAAGGCGGCUCACUGGUCCGGUUCUGACGCUGAGGCACGAAAGCGUGGGGAGCAAACAGG